rnacentral:lncRNA from 1 species
UCCAUGAUGUUCUGCUCCAGGGUCUGGGGGUCAUGGGCCACUGCCUGGUCCAGGUACUGGAGGAGUUUGCUCAUGCUCGACACGGGGAUGCCGAAGGACUGGACGAAGAGCAGCAGCUGCUGGGGCUCCAGGUCCUGCAGGGCAGCAACAGUGCCUCCUCCGAUGUGUCCACCAGGAAGGCAGUGGGCAGCGGCUGCUUCUCCGGGAACCAGAUGUCCAACAGCUCAUAGAACUCACUAUCACCAGCUUCGGGAAAGAUGUGGGUGAGCAACCUUCUUCCACGAGGGCCCUGACCCCAAGGAGGACCACAGGCCAAACCUGGCGAAGCCUCACGGCCCCUCAGGGAUAUCCUCCUUGUACAAGGGGAAACUGAGGCCUCACAGGAACAGGGAAGACUCAAAUGCAGACAAGGGCCAACUGGCCAAUAGUGAGCAUGAACUGGAGUAUUUCAUUUGUGGGACAGGUACAGAACCCCUACUUACAGGUGAGGAAAAAGGCUCUUAGGAGAUGAAUCUGCCUCCUGAGAUCCCCUGCCCCAGGGAACUUGUGCCCAUGCCACAAGCUGCCUGUCCAGGCCAGCUCCCUUCCAAACUCCCUCUCCACAGGGCCAAGGGGAAGCCCAUGAGGCGGGACAGUGAGGCCAGCCUCCCCCUCUCCUUCCCAAGGGUGCCACAGUGGACAUAUACCUGGGGCUGGCCACCUUCACUGCCACCUGGCGGCUCCCAUUCUGGCAGAGCCCACCCAUGUGCACAAGACUCUCCUUAGCCUUCCCCUCCUCUCACAGGAGUAAUCAGAUAAGUGGUGGGAUAGUCACAAUGGCCAGGAAGGAAAGAAGGAAAGGCUGCUGGCCAGAGGGCUCAGCCAGUCCGGGCCACUGGGCUCUUGACAUGGCUGCUGGGCAAGGACAUGACCCUCCAGGACAGACCCUCCCCGCCCAGCACUGCUCACCUCGGGGUGGGCCCAGUGUCAGCAGGAUGACCAUGGCGUGGACCACGAGGAUGUGCAUGGUAGCUGUCUCCCCACUGGCCCAGCGCAGGAAGACUUGGUCCUGGGACUCCGAC